GUUCGGACAAGGAGAAUGCGGUGACGGUUGGUCGGCGCGAGGGAAGAGGAGGGUUUGACCUGGAGUCAUGUGGGUGGUUAGCACGCGGCGGCCAACGGCUGUGAUGGAUGCAGUUCCAUAGCUGACGCUAUACCAAGUUGAUUAUUUUUCCUCGGAUGGAUUGAGUGCAGAUUACUGCUUUGAAAUCCAGCUGUCCAGUUAUUUUCUGAAGAAAAUGUCAUAAAGGCUAAAUGUAAAGAAGAAUAUUAUUAUUAAACAAGACACAAUGUCAA